rnacentral:lncRNA from 1 species
GUGGUGACCUGGGAAUCAAUGUGUGAGGUGGUGCUAUGUAGCAGGAACCCCUCUUGCUUUGCAAAUAGUUUUUUGUUUGUUUUCCUUUUUGCCCAAUAGAGCCCUGCUCUACUGACCCUUCAAUGUGCCCGUGUGCCUAAAUAUUCCUGGUCGUGUGAAAAGAACCCAGGUAUUAGCUGAACUAAGGAGCACAAUUCUGCAACAUUUUGGCACCCAAACACGGGGCUUGAGAAAUGAAUGCAAUUGGAGAAACUGGUUGUUUUACCAGGCGUUGAUUGGAAAUGUGUGCUUCCCUUUAAGCAGUCAAGCUCAACUUGCAGAACUGAUGGGAACCCCUUGGGAAAACUGGCCUCAAAUGUUUGUCUACACAGUCCACAUACAGGGUUCUUAACCUGCGGUGAGUAAAGAAUGUCACUUUCCAACAGGCCCAGAUAUCAUAUGCUCUUGGGACCUCAAGAAGAGAGGAGUUUACCCAAUUCAUAGCAUAUUUAACUAUCCGGCUAUUUUGGAGAUUGAAAAAAGAAGACCUGAUUUAUCAUGUGCAAUAUCUCACACAUCUGUCAUUUCUAUUCUACCGCAAUUCGAUGGAGUCUUGUUCUGUGGUCCAGGCUAGAGGGCAGUGGCAUGAUCUCGGCUCACUACAAGCUCUGCCUCCCGGGUUCACGCCAUUCUCCUGCCUCAGCCUCCUGAGUAGCUGGGACUACAGGCGCCCGCCACCACGCCUGGCUAAUUUUUUGUAUAUUUACUAGAGAUGGCUAGUGUUAGCCAAGAUGGUCUCGAUCUCCUGACCUCGUGAUCUGCCCACCUCAGCCUGCCAAAGUGCUGGGAUUACUGGCGUGAGCCACCGUGCCUGGCCAGCAUCCUCUAAUUAUUAUUCAUAGUUUGUGAAUUUAGGCCUACGUGAAUAAUAAUAUAAUAUUUACUAUGAUGUUACUAUCUACCAACCUUAUUUUUCUUUUCUAUAAAAUAGGAGCCAAAAUAAUAUUUAUGUCAUACCUUAUGAAGUUAAAAUAAAAUAUAACGAAUGAGGGGCUUAACAA